AUGACUUGGAAACCAUUCAGCCAAAGAAUAUGCUGUUGGACCACUGUUGGCAAUUUCAGUCCUAGCUCAAUUCUUGAGCAUAGAUAUAAUUUCCUGUGUGGCACUCAAUAUCUCCAAGACCUAGGAUGCUCCUUGAGAGGCAUGGUACUAUUUUGAGCCAUGAAGUCCACCAUAAUUUGUUACAGCAUCUGUAGGAAUCUCAUAGGGUAAGUAUGUAGGAAAUUAUGAAAGAGAAUACAAUUGCAUAUUUC
rnacentral:lncRNA from 1 species